GAUGAACGCUAGCGGCAGGCUUAAUACAUGCAAGUCGAGGGGCAUCAAGGUACACGAAAGUGUAUUGUUGGCGACCGGCGGACGGGUGAGUAAUAGGUAGGUAACCUACCUCAUACUGAGGCAUAGCUGGGAGAAAUUCCAGGUAAUUCCUCAUGAGGUUAUAUGACACAUGUGAUAUAAUCAAAGGUAUCGCAAGGUACUGGUAUGAGAUGGGCUUACUGACCAUUAGCUAGUUGGUGAGAUAAGAGCUCACCAAGGCGAAGAUGGUUAGGGGUUUGAGAGAGAGAUCCCCCACAUUGGAACUGAGAUACGGUCCAGACUCCUACGGGAGGCAGCAGUAGGGAAUAUUGGGCAAUGGGCGGAAGCCUGACCCAGCCAUGCCGCGUGAAGGAAGACGGCCUUAUGGGUUGUAAAACUUCUUUACUAUGCGACUAACUAGAUUUACGAGAUAAUUCUAUAGAAUGUAGCAUAGCAAAAAGCACCGGA
rnacentral:rRNA from 1 species